GGUUUGGUGAUGUAGUUGUUAGCAUGGCUGCCUUCCAAGCAGUUUGUCUGGGUUACAGUUCCCAGCCAAUGCA
rnacentral:tRNA from 1 species